UUUCUACUCCCUCCGUCCGAAAAUACUUGUGAUCAAAAUGGAUAAAAAGAGAUGUAUCUAAAACUAAAAUACGUCUAGAUACAUUUCCUUUUAUCCAUUUUGAUGACAAGUAUUUCCAGACGGAGGGAGUAUUUU
rnacentral:pre_miRNA from 1 species